rnacentral:rRNA from 1 species
CGUAUGCAACCUACCUUAAACAGGGGGAUAGCCUCUCGAAAGAGAGAUUAAUACCCCAUAAUAUAAUUGAUAGGCAUCUAUUGAUUAUUAAAGCUGAGGCGGUUUAAGAUGGGCAUGCGGUUGAUUAGGUAGUUGGUGAGGUAACGGCUCACCAAGCCUACGAUCAAUAGGGGGUCUGAGAGGAUGUCCCCCCACACUGGUACUGAGACACGGACCAGACUCCUACGGGAGGCAGCAGUAGGGAAUAUUGGACAAUGGGGGCAACCCUGAUCCAGCCAUGCCGCGUGCAGGAAGACUGCCCUAUGGGUUGUAAACUGCUUUUGUACGGGAAGAAACCCCUCUACGUGUAGAGGGUUGACGGUACCGUGAGAAUAAGGAUCGGCUAACUUCGUGCCAGCAGCCGCGGUAAUACGAAGGAUCCAAGCGUUGUCCGGAUUUACUGGGUUUAAAGGGUGCGUAGGCGGGCUAUUAAGUCAGUGGUGAAAGCCGAUCGCUUAACGAUCGAACUGCCAUUGAAACUGAUAGUCUUGAGUAUGUUUGAGGUUACUGGAAUAUAACAUGUAGCGGUGAAAUGCUUAGAUAUGUUAUAGAACACCAAUUGCGAAGGCAGGUAACUAAGUCAUAACUGACGCUGAGGCACGAAAGCGUGGGGAGCAAACAGGAUUAGAUACCCUGGUAGUCCACGCCCUAAACGUUGAAUACUCGGUCUUGGCGAUAUACAGUC